UACCUGGUUUGAUCCUGCCAGUAGUCAUAUGCUUGUCUCAAAGAUUAAGCCAUGCAUGUGUAAGUACAAGCGUGUACACGGUGAAACUGCGAAUGGCUCAUUAAAUCAGUUGUGGUUCCUUGGAUCGUUGCCCAGUACGUGGAUAACUGUGGUAAUUCUAGAGCUAAUACAUGCACCCAAGCCCCGAUCCCCUCCGGGGAGAAGGGCGCAGUUAUUAGACCAAGACCGACCCCGGGCCGGGCCUCCGGGCCCCCCGGGUGUACCCUCAAGGUGACUCUGGAUAACCUAGGGCUGAUCGCACGGCCGCCGCGCCGGCGACGUAUCUUUCAAAUGUCUGCCCUAUCAAAUGUCGAAGGGAGGUGCCAUGCCUCCCUUGUUUGUAACGGGUGACGGGGAAUCAGGGUUCGAUUCCGGAGAGGGAGCAUGAGAAACGGCUACCACAUCCAAGGAAGGCAGCAGGCGCGCAAAUUACCCACUCCUGACACGGGGAGGUAGUGACGAAAACUAACGGUACGGGACUCGAUCGAGGCUCCGUAACCGGAAUGAGUACACUUUAAAUCCUUUAGCGAGGAUCAAUUGGAGGGCAAGUCUGGUGCCAGCAGCCGCGGUAAUUCCAGCUCCAAUAGCGUAUAUUAAAGUUGUUGCAGUUAAAAAGCUCGUAGUUGGAUCUCGGUCGGCCGGCCAAGCGGUCUCGCAGGGGUCUCGAGGUGCAAUGCCCGGCCCGGCGAUGCACUGCCGUCGGCGACCAGCCGGCAGGGGGGCGGCUCGUAACUGACCGCCCGGCGGGACCCGUCGAGUCCUCCAAGGAGCUCGGCGGCCCGGCCGUCCCGGGCUCCCCUUCACUGGGCGGCCCGUGGCACCUGUCCGUUUUACUUUGAAAAAAUUAGAGUGUUCAAAGCAGGCUAGAGGCCUGAAUGAUGGUGCAUGGGAUAAUGGAACAGGACCUCGGUUCUAUUCUGUUGGUUCUCCGGGACUGAGGUAAUGAUCAAUAGGGGCAGACGGGGGCACUCGUACUGCGGCGUGAGAGGUGAAAUUCUUGGACCGCCGCAAGACGAACUAACGCGAAAGCAUUUGCCAAGAAUGUUUUCAUUAAUCAAGAACGAAAGUCAGAGGAUCGAAGGCGAUCAGAUACCGCCCUAGUUCUGACCCUAAACGAUGCCGACUGGCGAUCCGUCGGAGUUACCCAUGACCCGACGGGCAGCCCCUGGGAAACCUCAAGUCUUUGGGUUCCGGGGGAAGUAUGGUUGCAAAGCUGAAACUUAAAGGAAUUGACGGAAGGGCACCACCAGGAGUGGAGCCUGCGGCUUAAUUUGACUCAACACGGGGAAACUCACCCGGCCCGGACACCGUGAGGAUUGACAGAUUGAGAGCGCUUUCUUGAUUCGGUGGGUGGUGGUGCAUGGCCGUUCUUAGUUGGUGGAGCGAUCUGUCUGGUUAAUUCCGAUAACGAACGAGACUCAAUUGCCUCGUAAUUAGUCCUCCUCCCCCCAACGGGGGGGGGGCAGAAUUCUUAUAGGAAGCAACCCCGUCGUAGCAGCAGGAAGAGGAGCAACAACAGGUGUUUGAUGCCCUCAUAUGUUGGGGGGGGCCCCCCCCCCGCUCCGAAAAAAGAGGCAGAUGGAGUACUCCCCAGAAAUGGGUGGGCGGCAACUGCUCAAAAUCUAUUAUGGUAGGGGGUGGGGGGUGAAAUUGUUUUUCAUCAUCAAGGAAUUAUCAGCAAGAAGGACUCGUCAACAGGUGUUGAUGAUGACCUCCCCCCCUGUACACCCCACCCCCCGCCGCUACUGAUGAAGGAAUGUUUGGCAGGCCGUCGGGGCGCCCCGGGGACCCCUCUCGGGCCCGGCCGCCAAUGUCGCCUGAAAGACGGUCGAA
rnacentral:rRNA from 1 species